GCAUCGGUAGUUUAGUGGUAGAAUAACUGGCUUCCAACCAGUUGAUCUGGGUUCAAUUCCCAGCCGAUGCA
rnacentral:tRNA from 1 species